rnacentral:Y_RNA from 1 species
GGCUGGUCCGAUGGUAGUGGGUUAUCAGAACUUAUUAACAUUAGUGUCAUUAAAGUUGGUAUUCAACCCCCCACUGCUAAAUUUGACUGGCUUUAA